CCUACGGGUGGCAGCAGUGAGGAAUAUUGGUCAAUGGGCGCGAGCCUGAACCAGCCAAGUAGCGUGAAGGAUGAAUGCCCUACGGGUUGUAAACUUCUUUUAUAAAGGAAUAAAGUGAGGCACGUGUGCCUUUUUGUAUGUACUUUAUGAAUAAGGAUCGGCUAACUCCGUGCCAGUAGCCGCGGUAAUACGGAGGCUCCGAGCGUUAGCCGGAUUUAUUGGGUUUAAAGGGAGCGUAGAUUGGUUGUUGAGUCAGUGGUGAAAGUGUUCGGCUCAACCGUAAAAUUGCAAUUGAUACUGGCAGUCUUGAGUACAGUUGAGGUAGGCGGAAUUCGUGGUGUAGCGGUGAAAUGCUUAGAUAUCUCGAAGAACUCCGAUUGCGAAGGCAGCUUACUAAACUGCCACUGACAUUGAUGCUCGAAAGUGUGGGUAUCAAACAGGAUUAGAUACCCUUGUAGUC
rnacentral:rRNA from 1 species